CCUACGGGAGGCUGCAGUGGGGAAUAUUGGUCAAUGGGCGCGAGCCUGAUCCAGCCAUGUAGCGUGAAGGAUGACUGCCCUACGGGUUGUAAACUUCUUUUAUAAAGGAAUAAAGUGAGGCACGUGUGCCUUUUUGUAUUUACUUUAUGAAUAAGGAUCGGCUAACUCAGUUCCAGCAGCCGAGGUAAUACGGAGGUUCCGAUCGUUAUCCGGAUUUAUUGGGUUUAAAGUGAGCGUAGAUGGGUUGUUAAGUCAGUUGUGAAAGUUUGCGGCUCAACCGUAAAAUUGCAAUUGAUACUGGCAGUCUUGAGUACAGUUGAGGUAGGCAGAAUUCGUGGUGUAGCGGUGAAAUGCUUAGAGAUCACGAAGAACUCCGAUUGCGAAGGCAGCUUACUAAACUGCCACUGACAUUGAUGCUCGAAAGUGUGGGUAUCAAACAGGAUUAGAUACCCUGGUAGUC
rnacentral:rRNA from 1 species